GACGAACGCUGGCGGCGUGCUUAACACAUGCAAGUCGAACGGAAAGGCUCCAGCUUGCUGGAGUACUCGAGUGGCGAACGGGUGAGUAACACGUGGGUAAUCUGCCCUGCACUCUGGGAUAAGCCUGGGAAACUGGGUCUAAUACUGGAUAUGACCUUUCUCCUUAUGGGGUUUGGUGGAAAGUUUUUCGGUGUAGGAUGAGCCCGCGGCCUAUCAGCUUGUUGGUGGGGUGAUGGCCUACCAAGGCGACGACGGGUAGCCGGCCUGAGAGGGUGAUCGGCCACAUUGGGACUGAGAUACGGCCCAGACUCCUACGGGAGGCAGCAGUGGGGAAUAUUGCACAAUGGGCGGAAGCCUGAUGCAGCGACGCCGCGUGAGGGAUGACGGCCUUCGGGUUGUAAACCUCUUUCAGCAGGGACGAAGCGUAAGUGACGGUACCUACAGAAGAAGCACCGGCUAACUACGUG
rnacentral:rRNA from 1 species